rnacentral:misc_RNA from 1 species
UCACCGCUUGCGCGGGCAGUCUCAUUAGAGUCCCCAGCAUGACCUGAUGGCAACUAAUGAUAGGGGUUGCGCUCGUUACGGGACUUAACCCAACACCUCACGGCACGAGCUGACGACAGCCAUGCAGCACCUAGUUUCGUGCCCUUGCGGGAAGAUCCGUUUCCGGAUCGGUCACUAACUUUCAAGCCCGGGUAAGGUUCCUCGCGUAUCAUCGAAUUAAACCACAUGCUCCUCCGCUUGUGCGGGCCCCCGUCAAUUCCUUUGAGUUUCAAUCUUGCGACCGUACUUCCCAGGUGGAUAACUUAAUGCUUUCGCUUAGACGCGUACUGUAUAUCGCACACAUCGAGUUAUCAACGUUUAGGGCGUGGACUAC